UUGAUUUGGAGUCUGGUGCGUAAUGCGUAAAGUUAGCCUUUUUCUCACAGGGGACAUUUUUUGGACACUGGUCAGUCUGUGCGUCGAUCUGACAGCAACACACGGUUUAGAUUUCAUUUAUUGGCCAAAGUCACCAAGAUGUUUCUGUUUAAGGACAGGAGGGCUCCCUCUGCUGGUGAGGAAGAGAACCUGCACAGAUAGAAAAAGGUGAUAUGGAAAGAUGAGAUAUUAACUACAUAAUGACUUUGCCGGGAAAAGAAAAAUUAUCCUUGCAUGCAAUGGAGCACUAAAUGGAAGAGCCCUUGGGACUGAACACUUAAUACAGUAAAUGGAACCAAGAGACAAGCACAGAGAAGUUCCUCCGUCUUUUGGAAGCAAUUCAAAACAUCUCACCAGUGGCUACAUUACUGGAGACACAGGAGCAGAAGCACUUUGAGCGGGGGAUGGCCCACUGUUACAGUCCAAUUAAUUUGUGUAGAUAGUGCAGACAUGAUUUAUAGUUUAUUUUUUGGUGUGCUGUGCUGACAAACGAGCUUUCAGACGCCUCCGGCACGCAAUAGAUAAAGCAUGGAGCUCAAGCACAUCAUGAAAGGCUUCUGAGGUCUGAAGGGCCCGGCUGCCGACUAAAGGGUCCCGUGGACGGCCCUUUCUCCUUCGCUCACGCCUAAAUAAAGACGUCCUUCAAAAGCGGCAGACCCCUUUCAGCGGUUUCAGACGGUGAAGUGGCCGUCACAGGCUGCAGCUGCACUUCUGACUCAUGGGACGAGCUCUGCACUUUGGACUUUGGCAGAUGAAAGUGGAGCUGAAACAGUCAGUCAAGGAAUCCAAUGAUGAAAUAAUCAACUAUUUGGUGAAAAAAUCAAGUAGAAAAACAAAAACUGCUCACAUUUAUAAAUAAUAGCAGAUUUUAGCAUUAAUAUGAUUUAGCUCUAUCUGUCAAGAUCAUCCAGUUUUUCACUUUUACAUCACUAAUUCCUAACCCAGUACAGCACUUCUCUUCAUUCUUUCCAAGUAUUUGAUAAGAUAAAUAUUUUUUUUAGCACAAAUAUUAACAUAACCUAAUUCUAGCCUUUUCAGAUUCCCCCCCUUUGCUCAUCUUUUAUACUUAAGACUCCAAUAACCAGGGUUCCUACAGGUUUCUACAAGUUAAUUUUUUUUUAAAAACUACUCAGAACAGAAUUUAAUGCCCAUUUCACGGCCAUACUGGCAAAAAUUUGUGACUCCUAGAAUUUACAACACCUUGAUUCCCACUGUUCAGAAUAAUUUCUCACCAGGGCCUGCAAAGUUAGUGAUAGUUGGUUCCUAAUUUCAAUAAAAAUUGUCAGAUUGGAACAGGUAGAACUGAGUCGACUAACGUUAUUUUCUUUGCAGCUUGGACACAUUUAAACACAGCACAGCGAACGCGUCUAUGGUAACAUAACUUAUGACUUACCAUGUCAAAUUUAAUACCUUGUAAAAACUUUUUAAAUUUAUUGACUGCAGAUUUAUAAAUUAAAAAUUUUGAAGGCUUUUUGAGACCCUGCAGGAACCCUGAAUAACAAAUCCAAAUCAACUGUUUUGUGUAUAAAAUGAUGCGUCCAAUUUUCCAGACUCCAAUGUGACAUAUUCCCAUCCAAGGGAAGAAAAGGCUCGAAAAGUGACUAAAAUGACCCAUUGUCAAUGCGGUCGUUUAUGCAAAGACAAUAAAGCCUUUAUGUUCAUGUUACAUGUGUUGUAUGAAAACAAGAAAACCAUGGCUUUGUGUUGGGCAGAUCAAAUGAAUUAUGGAUAGUUUUUAUCCCUAGAGAGUUGAUUCACCCUCUAACAGAUGUAAACAGUUUGAUGUUUGCAGAACAGACCAGUUUGUAAAAGAAACCAACCAGGCAGAAUAAUCGUUAGGAAAACUCAGCUCUCCACACUUCUGACAUAAAGCAAACAGUCAAUUUGAGUCUGCGUUUCAGGGAUAUUCCUACAUUUUUAAGUGUAUUUGUUGCGGUUUUAGAUGACGGGCAUCAGUCCAGAUCUCAAAUCAACUGUGAAACUAUUUAAAAACUGCAGAAGAAUGAAAAAAAAAGCUCUUUAAGAGUCAACGCCACCACCCCUCCCUCCUGCCUGUCGCUGGCUAUUUCUAUAACUCUCGUAUGAAAUGCUUCUGACGUUAAACACCUGUUAACUUUUAUGCCUUAUGAGAGGAGUGGCUGAAUGGGAGAGCAUUAUAUUCAGUGCCAGUCGGCCUGGCCAAAUCCCCAGUAGAGGAAAGACCACUCCCAGUGCAGAGUGGCAGCGGUGGGACUGAGUGAGCCCCCUCAUCCCAGCAGCGACGCUGAACAGCGGCCUACGAGGAUCCCCCCCGCUCUAAGCCAACAGCCCCACGACUCCAGCUGACAGCUGCGUGAAACCACCACCUCUCCACAGCAGCCUGCCGCAAACUGCUACCCACCAGCAGACCUGCUUAAGAGGAAAAGUAGGGAGAUACGAGGGCUUUGAGGCAUUUAUGUUGUUGGUGUCUUGUAUCUAAGAGUUUCCUGUAAUGUAGAAGCGCUGAAGUGCAUCCAGACAGAAUCUAAAACCAGCACCGCCAGUCGUACAGGGUCUGAAACUGAACUUAAAUACUGGAACUGCAUCAUGGUUUAACUUGGAUUAGAUUAUUAUUAAUGUAGUUUGUUGGAGCAAAAGAAAAAGUCACAUCCCAGUUCUGCUAAAAACUGAAAACAUGCUCAAUAAAUCAUUAAAUUUAAUGAGGAAUUACUUAAAAUGAUCAACUAUUAUUAACCUAGAAACACUGUGGUUGCCUUUAAAAGUAUUUUACAAAGUGUUGCUGUUUUACAUAAUCGUUGACCUGAGGGUUAUACAUGUCAGAUGUAAGUGGUAUGAACACUACAGUGGUGGAAAAAAGUUUUUGGACACCCCAUGCAUUGUGAGAUAUUGCAUUAAAAUCCCUCUCAAGUCAUUUAACUCAAGUAUCGUUUCAUUCUCCAAACCCACACACUACCUUCUGCACGAACUCUGUUCUGUCGACGUCAAAACUGGAUGUUUCAACAAGAUAAUGAAACAUCCAUGAUAUGUUGAAACUGUCAAGAAUUUAGUUUCAUUUUUUCUUAACAAUAAACAAUAAAAUAAUUUGCUUUUCUUUGUGUCUGUCCAAUGCAGCCACAACUUUUGAAACAAAGAUUUUUCCACAAAUAUUUCACGGUAAUAUUUGAGAUUUUGUAAAAUUUUAAGGGUGUCCGAAAACUUUUCCACUACUGUAUGUUAUUUUGAACUGUCUCUCAUUCUCUUAACUUUCUUUAACUUCUUUUACCGUUUUCCAUUUAUAAGGCUCCCACUAAGAUUAUUUUCAUCGUCUAUAAAAUGUCAGAAAAUGAGAAAAAGAUCAGUGUUUCCCAGAGUCCAAGAUGAUCCUUAAAUGUGUUGUUUGAUCCAGAGCUCAAAAAUAUUGUUUGCUGUUACAGUAGAAAAAAUAUCGAAAUAAAGAAACAGGAAUAUGAGAAUUUAAUUUUUACUUUUAAAAAAUAUUCAGAUUGAUGAACCACUUAUCAACAUAGUGUUGAUUAAUUUAAUAGCUAAUCACUGCAGCUCAAAUAUAUUAGCUGAUACAGAUUUUACAUGUGAAAUAGCUUUUUUUUUACAUUGAACUCCUCAUGAUUGGAUUUGUCUCUCAAACUGACCCUCCUCAGUAAAAUAUAAAAAAUAAAAUCCAAGUAUCUGUCAUGUUUUAUAUUAUUCCACGUGUUGACUUUCUACCUCCUUUCCUCAGAGUCUGGACAGAAAGACCUUCAAUUAUACUAAAUAUAAAACUCCUAAAAGCAGGUCAGAAUUUAUGCAGUUGCAGUAAAAGCGACAGAUUUAGAUAGUUAUGUUAUGUUGUCGUGUUCUACCUCAUUCUUCAUGUGCAGUCCCUGCUGAGUUGAAUGUGGUUCAGCAACUAAGCACCUCAUACAUAAAAUCUGCUGCCUGUAAAUCAAUCUAAUGCACCUCAAACUCCACAGAAAAAUCAUUUUGGAUUACAAUGAAAAUGGCUCCAAUAAAAAACUACGGCUCGAGCCCGUCCAAUGGCAUCGGUGACUGAAAGGAUCGCUGUUUGUCUGCCAGACGUGGUGGCUCAAUGAAAGCUGAUCCAAACUUUUAAAUGAGAGGUGUUGGGCUAAUAUUUUAAGGCUUGGAUUGCAGCACCAGGAAAUACCUGAGAGGUGCACCUUUAAGCAAUCAAACCCAGAAAUCCGCAGGAAUGGUUGGAAAACUCUGGCUUUUUGUGUUAAGGCUUCUCCGUGCUGUCGGCUCGUAAGUUCAGGUGCAGCGAUUAAGGCCUCCUAACGUGUAAAUGAUGGUGGAAUAUUUCAUUUUUAGUUUGUCAGUUUUAUCCUCCAUUAGCAGGCAGGAAUGUCCUCUCCUCUUCUGCGCUCUGAAGUGGCUGGCUAAUGUCUUUGGCUAUUUACACAUUACAGACAGCACAUCCAUUUGGGAAACAGGAGAUAAUGUUUGAGACAUAAUAGGGGUAAAUAACUAAAAUCUUCAGAUUCUGUUCUGGGCGAUGCGUCAUUCUUUCAUAAACACAGAUUUCAGCCCUUACAAACAGAAGGUAAAUUAAAGUGGGAAACGAAAUGUAUAAAAGUGUCAAGUUAUCCAUUUUCUAGACAUUAAACUACACAUGGUUUUGAAGGUUUUAAAUUCUGCUCCUAAUUUAUCAACCCAUGUCAAACCAAACCAGAUUCCAUUAGUGUCCAAUAAUCCAGCAAAUGCAUAAAUUCAUAGUGAAAAAACAGUAAAAACAGGACGCAGUAUUAAGAA